CCCGCCCCCAUCCUAGUUCCCGCCCCCUUAUUCCUACACCUGUAAAGACCCCUUCCAGCCCUUCGGUUGAGAACACGUGACCCUGGGGCACUUCCCCUGAGUGCGCCCUGCGGCCGUCCUCCUACCAAACGCAGAGACCAACCGCAGGGACCAACCGCAGGGACCAAACGCAGCACCCGGUGGCGGCGAGGAAGAUACCCGUGUGUCAGUUUCCAGAGCAUGUUCCCGUGGACCCUGCUCAGGACCAGGUAUGAAGACCAGCUCUGGGGGCAUCAAGGACUAGGAGAGGAGCAGCAGGAACUGUGGGCAGGUGGGCGCUGACCCUGUGUGACCUGCAGGCUGCCCCUUCCACUGACCUGGCUCCUUCUGGGACUGACCUAGCCCUGUCCUCCUUGUCCAUAACUCACC